UUUCUUCGGAAUGAAGUUUUAGUGACUGAGUGGCGGACGGGUGAGUAACGCGUGGGUAACCUGCCUUAUACAGGGGGAUAACAGUUAGAAAUGACUGCUAAUACCGCAUAAGCGCACGGUAUCGCAUGAUACAGUGUGAAAAACUCCGGUGGUAUAAGAUGGACCCGCGUCUGAUUAGCUUGUUGGUGAGGUAACGGCUCACCAAGGCGACGAUCAGUAGCCGACCUGAGAGGGUGAUCGGCCACAUUGGAACUGAGACACGGUCCAAACUCC
rnacentral:rRNA from 1 species